rnacentral:rRNA from 1 species
GAUUGUAGGCUGAAACUCGCCUAUAUGAAGUCGGAAUUGCUGUAAUCGCAGAUCAGCAUGCUGCGGUGAAUACGUUCCCGGGCCUUGUACACACCGCCCGUCACACCAUGAGAGUCGAUAACACCCGAAGCCUGUAGUCUAACCAUAAGGAGGACGCAGUCGAAGGUGGGAUUGAUAAUUAGGGUGAAGUCGUAACAAGGUAAC